rnacentral:lncRNA from 1 species
AAAAGAAAUAUUGGGCUUUGAGUUGGGCAUAUAUUGUUUCGUCGUUUGGUUCGGAUAUAAGCAAAACUAGCUAUUACAGGGAUAGGUACAAGUAUGGGGAUAAGAAAAAUAGCGUUUGGAUGAAAAUUGAAUUGUUUCCGGAGAUAAGAAAAAUAACAUUUGGAUAGAUAAUAUGGAAUCAGAAAAAUAGUGGGUAGUUAUAUAUAGAAAAUGGAGGUGUUGGUGAGGAUAGUUAUACUAGCUUAUUUUAGGUAGCCGAGAACUACUAUUCUCGAAUAAAAAUUUAUGUUUGGGUAUAAAGCGGGGAUAAGGGGUUAUCCCUCCCUUUUUCCCCGAUCCAAACGCUAGGUAUGUUUAGUUCAAAGGAUAAAGGAGGAAUAAGGGAUUUAUUCCUCUUAUUCUUCCAAAUGGUGUCAAAAGUUGUCAAGAAAUACUAUUCUCCUCUUAACGAGUUAUUCUGGAAUAAUCCGUUAAGAGAGAGAAUAAUAGUUCCACCUAUUGGGUGAAACAAGCUAUUCUCUACCUUAUUCUUCUACUAAUUAAGUUAUAAAUAAUUAUAAAUUAUAAUUAAUUAAUGCAAUUAAUUUUUUUAAUAAUUGGCUAAUUAAUUAUUUAAUUUAUUAAAUUAAUAAAUAUUUAAAUAAUAAUCUAUUUAUAAUUUUUUAUUAUUUAUCUAAUUAAAUAGUUAGCCAUAUAUUCAAUUGUUAACUAAUAUUUAUAUUAUUUAAAUAA